GCCCCCAUCGUCUAGUGGCCUAGGACGUCGCCCUCUCACGGCGAAAACAGGGGUUCGAACCCCCUUGGGGGCGCCA
rnacentral:tRNA from 1 species